GAUGAACGCUGGCGGCGUGCCUAAUACAUGCAAGUCGAGCGAACAGACGAGGAUCUUGCUCCUCUGACGUUAGCGGCGGACGGGUGAGUAACACGUGGAUAACCUACCUAUAUGACUGGGAUAACUUCGGGAAACCGGAGCUAAUACCGUAUAAUAUAUUGAACCGCAUGGUUCAAUAGUGAAAGACGGUUUUGCUGUCACUUAUAGAUGGUUCCGCGCCGCAUUAGCUAGUUGGUAAGGUAACGGCUUACCAAGGCAACGAUGCGUAGCCGACCUGAGAGGGUGAUCGGCCAAACUGGAACUGAGACACGGUCCAGACUCCUACGGGAGGCAGCAGUAGGGAAUCUUCCGCAAUGGGCGAAAGCUUGACGGAGCAACGCCGCGUGAGUGAUGAAGGUCUUCGGAUCGUAAAACUCUGUUAUGAGGGAAGAACAAAUGUGUAAGUAACUAUGCACGUCUUGACGGUACCUAAUCAGAAAGCCACGGCUAACUACGUG
rnacentral:rRNA from 1 species